AAAAAUGUGUGCAAAGAAAUGAUGGCCCCUGAGGACAGACUCUGGGCGAUCGCAGUCACCUGUGAAGGUUUUAUGAAGAUGAAAUCUGAUGAGAAUGAAAGCCUUCAGCAAACCAUGAAACCCAGUAUUAAGGUUAGAGAGAGGGAAGAGCAUUCCUUACUGCAGCUCUUCUGGGACUGCACAGCCAUUUCAAUCUCUAGUGACUCUAUAUAGGUAUAAACACUUCUGUGGGCAUUCAAAGAAACACUCAGCAUCCUACCCAUAAAUAUAUUUAUUAACUUCUAUAAAGCACUCAAUUUCCUUAAUUGCAAGCCUAAUUUAAUUUCCCUUUAAGUCUUUUUGUUAAUUUUCUUUGGAUAUUUUUCAGGUUUUUAAUGUCUUUUAUUUAUUUGGAGACUGAGUCUCACUCUUUUUCAUGUCUUUCUUUCUUUCAUUUAUUUAUGUAUUUAUUUUGAGAUGGAAUCUCACUGCUUCCCCCAGGCUAGAGAACAGUAGUGCUAUCUCAGGUCACUACAAUGUCUGCCUCCCAGGUUCAAGUGAUUCACCUGCGUUAGCCUCCCGAGUAGCUGGAAUUAUAGGCACAUGCCACAACGCCCUGCUAAUUUUUGUAUUUUUUUUUAGUAGAGACAGGAUUUCACCAUAUUGGCCAGGCUGGUCUCAAACUCCUGACCUCAGGUGAUCUGCCCGCCUCAGCCUCCUGAAGUGCUGGGAUUAUAGGCUUGAGCCAACAAGCCUAGUCUUCAAGUCUUUUAAAAAAUUUGCCAAAGAUUGAUUGACAGUUACCAAAGUUUGAUAAGCUAUUCUAGGCACGAUUUUUUGCAAAAGGAUCAUCCAAUUUAGAAACCACAGGAAAGAUAGUUUUAAUCCUGGUAUCUUAUAUUCAUUUCAGGAUAUCCUAGCAACAUGGGGUCCCUUUUCACCCCAAAUAACUCUAAUAAAGCAAAUUUCUAUUUUACCCGUGUUCUACCAUGGUCUUAGUUAUCUCCAUUAGUUUUUGUCUCUAGAUUAGAAUUCCUACAUCCUAUAUUUGUAUUGUAAAUUUUUCAUCCCUAAGUGUAUCACCCAAAUGAAUGCCAAUAUGCUACCACCUAGCUCUGGUUAUAAGUGCUAACUCAGGUUAUCCACCAACAUAACAAAAAGUUCAAAGUUUCAUAAUUUAAUAAAAUGUCCCUUAGAUGUCAGAUCAAAACAUUUUCUAAACUGUAAGCUUACUUCAUGAUCUCUAUAAGGAUAGAAUUCAUAUUUCAUCAUCUUAAAUAUUUAUUACCUUGCUAAUGCUAAUCCUCCACACCCCAAAACAGUGCUUUUAGCACAAUGUUUUGUAUAUGCUACACAAUGCUCAAUACACAUUUUCUGGAUGAAAGAAUAUUUUAUAUUUUCUAAAUGCUAAGCCUAUAUACCAUGUAAGAAUAUAACACACAUUUGCUAGGCUUAAAAUCAUUAAUUAAAAUGCCAUUUUCAACUGAUUUUAGUAAAGGAAAAUGAAAUACUAACCUACAUGUUGAAGUAUUUGCUUUAGAACAACAAUGCAGUUUAGCCCCAUCAAGGCCAGUAGAGGGAGGAGGGUGUACAGUGACUCCAGGGUGAACAGAUUGUGAGCUUUCAAGAAAACACUGCCAAAGAGGAUCUUGAGGCAAGGGCUGGGUCUUACAACCCUCGAUGAGACCAUCAACAAUCUCCAUUUCCGUUUUCUUGGACAUCAGAAUUCUCUUGCAGGCAUUUUGGCAAGCAUGGUCUUCGGCUCUGUCACAGCAAUAUAAACCUACAUUUUCAGAAUGUAAGUGGCUUAAUUAGCUGUUUUUUUUUUUUUUAUCCUACUUUAAGUUCUGGGAUACUUGUGUAGGACGUGCAGGUUUGUUACAUAGGUAUACAAGUGCCAUGGUGGUCUGCUGCACCCAUCAACCCAUCAUCUACAUGAGGUAUUUCUCCUAAUGCUAUCUCUCCCCUAGCUCCCCACCCUCAACAGGCCUGACUGUGUGAUAUUCUCCUCCCUGUGUUCUCAUUGUUCAACUCCCACUUAUGAGUGAGAACAUGCAGUGUUUGGUUUCUGUUCCUGUGUUUGCUGAGAAUGAUGGCUUCCAGCUUCAUCCAUGUCCCUGCAAAGGACAUGAACUUAUCCUUUUUUAUGGCUGCAUAGUAUUCCAUGGUGUACAUGUGCCACAUUUUCUUUAUCCAGUCUGUCAUUGAUGGGCAUUUGGGUUGGUUCCAAGUCUUUGCUAUUGUGAAUAGUGCUGCAAUAAACAUACGUGUGCAUGUUUUCUUUCUUUCUUUUUUUUUUUUUUGUCAUACUCUGCUUAGCACAGAACAUGGCAGUGUAGUGGAAACCAUUACUACUCUUAGUUAUAUGUCAGUAUUUGCAGAAUACAAGCCCUACUGAACUCACUCCCUAUGACUUUGCAGUGUAGCAAAAAGGUGAGGAGCUAAAGGUAGACAAGGUAUCUAUUACCAGAAUUCACCACUGUCCCCAAUCAUGGGAUCUUUAGCACCAUACUUACAAAAAUGAAAGGUCAUCCUACACCUAAGAAUUCCUCACAGGAGAGGCAUUUUACAUUCCUAGAAAAGGUAUUGUAGAUUGAGCUGGAAUUAUUUCCUGCUAGAAACAAUCACCUAAAAGGGAUUAUGUUCUUGACGUGAAAGAGAUGGCUAAUUUUUAUAGCAACAAACACAAAUACCGUAUUUCAUCACAUUCUAAGACCACAUAAAGCUUUUAGGUAUCUUAAGCUAAUUAAUCUAAGUUGUAACGUAAAUAAUACAGUAGCAAACUUUGACAGAUAUCAAUUUGGUUCUGUCUUUAAUUUUUUGCGAGAAUCAGAAAUAAAAAAACCCUUUCAACAUACUAUAGAACUCAGAAGGGCUUCUUUGAAGUAGUUUUCUUUGCUUUGGAAGAAAUCUAUUUAUGCAUAUCUAUUUGGAGCCUUCUUUUCCAGAUUCCUCUAUAUUGGCAAAGACAGAGAUGGUUGUUCUACCCUUAAAACCUCUUUC